rnacentral:rRNA from 1 species
AGAGUUUGAUCCUGGCUCAGGAUGAACGCUAGCUACAGGCUUAACACAUGCAAGUCGAGGGGCAUCAGUUUGGUUUGCUUGCAAACCAAAGCUGGCGACCGGCGCACGGGUGAGUAACACGUAUCCAACCUGCCUCAUACUCGGGGAUAGCCUUUCGAAAGAAAGAUUAAUACCCGAUAGCAUAGUUUUUCCGCAUGGUUUCACUAUUAAAGAAUUUCGGUUAUCGAUGGGGAUGCGUUCCAUUAGAUAGUUGGCGGGGUAACGGCCCACCAAGUCAACGAUGGAUAGGGGUUCUGAGAGGAAGGUCCCCCACAUUGGAACUGAGACACGGUCCAAACUCCUACGGGAGGCAGCAGUGAGGAAUAUUGGUCAAUGGACGAGAGUCUGAACCAGCCAAGUAGCGUGAAGGAUGACUGCCCUAUGGGUUGUAAACUUCUUUUAUACGGGAAUAAAGUGGAGUAUGCAUACUCCUUUGUAUGUACCGUAUGAAUAAGGAUCGGCUAACUCCGUGCCAGCAGCCGCGGUAAUACGGAGGAUCCGAGCGUUAUCCGGAUUUAUUGGGUUUAAAGGGAGCGUAGGCGGGUGCUUAAGUCAGUUGUGAAAGUUUGCGGCUCAACCGUAAAAUUGCAGUUGAUACUGGA